rnacentral:rRNA from 1 species
UACGAAGGGGGCUAGCGUUGCUCGGAAUUACUGGGCGUAAAGGGAGCGUAGGCGGACAUUUAAGUCAGGGGUGAAAUCCCGGGGCUCAACCUCGGAAUUGCCUUUGAUACUGGGUGUCUUGAGUGUGAGAGAGGUGUGUGGAACUCCGAGUGUAGAGGUGAAAUUCGUAGAUAUUCGGAAGAACACCAGUGGCGAAGGCGACACACUGGCUCAUUACUGACGCUGAGGCUCGAAAGCGUGGGGAGCAAACAGG